UACGUAGGCAGCGAGCGUUGUUCGGAGUUACUGGGCGUAAAGCGUGCGUAGGCGGUGUCUUAAGUUUGUUGUGAAAUCUCCCGGCUUAACCGGGAGGGUGCGGCGAAUACUGAGAUGCUGGAGUGCCGGAGAGGUAAGCGGAAUUCCUGGUGUAGCGGUGAAAUGCGUAGAUAUCAGGAGGAACACCUGCGGUGUAGACGGCUUACUGGACGGUAACUGACGCUGAGGAGCGAAAGCGUGGGGAGCAAACAGG
rnacentral:rRNA from 1 species